ensembl:lncRNA
UGAUCAAAAAUACAGUAAAAAUGUGAAAUAAUAUUACAGUUUCAAACAGAUGUUUUCUCUGUGAAUAUCUGUUAAAUUGUAAUUUAUUUCUGUGAUGCGCAGCUGUAUUUUCAGCAUCAUUACUCCAGUCUUCAGUGUCACAUGAUCUUCAGAAAUAAAUUACACUUUAACAGAGAUUCACAUAGAAAACAGCUGUUUGAAAUUAUAAUAAUAUUUCACUGUUUUUACUGUAUUUUUGAUCAAAUAAAUGCAGCCUUGGUGAGCAGAAGAGACUUCUUUCAAAAACUUUAAAAUCUUAUCAGCAAAAUAACAAUGCCAUGAAGUAGGCCUACUUUGAAAGAGACUCAGAGAGAGAGGUGAGUGCUGGAGAACAGAGGGAAGCUUCUCUUUGUCUCAGGACGAGCGUGACAGCGUGUCAUCAUCAGAUUGUUCUGAGCGUCAGUCUGGACUUCAGGUGAGUCACAUCCCUGACAGACGGACCAGACACCGAACAACAACAACAUCCCUGAGCGGCUCCUGUCAGAUAAUCAAAUUCAGUUUCAUUACCCCACUACAUUAAAACCACGGAAAUAUCGUUAACUCACCCGCGACGCAAAACCAUUGAGAAUCUAUGAAUAAUGAAGAUUAAUAAGCAUACAAAUCAUAUUAGAUAAUUGAAUUCAGCACUGGUGAAAAAUGAGACGGAAUAAGAAUAGUUAUUCUUCCACGAUUUCCCAAAGAGCCUUGUCAGAGAUUCAAUAUUAUGCCUCAUAGAUUAAACCAUUACAGACGGGCUUCGCCAAACAGACACAGACAGACGGAGGGAUUGAAACAUAGAGCAGAAUGGAAGGAAAGAGACAGAAACUUGUUCAAAGAGCAGCGAUAAGGCGACGGCCUCGAAGACAUGGACGGUCUCUCAUUUCCGGCCCUAAUGUUAUAACGUAUUUACACGUCUUUGAGAAGCGAAAGCCAGGAAAGUAAAAAAGAAAGCAGUGACCUUAAUGGCACAGAUGAGAAGCUGAAACAAUGUGUCCAAUCAAUACCAGCUCGAUCGGGCACGCGGCCACCGAAACACACUCUUAAUCCAUUAUUUUUUAACCACAUUUGCAGCAUUUCUCAAAGUCUAAAGGUGGAGAUGGAUGAGUCGACUUGUGAAGUGUAAUGUGAUUUGGAGCAUCAAAGGACUGAUGAGCUCUGAAUGCAAUCAGGUGGCUGAUUGCUAUAAAAAUCUUACCCAUCAUGCACUGGGGUAAAUUUGUGUUACACAAAUAAGAUGAAAUACAGGGCUUUGAGUCAAUAAAUACACAGCCAGAGGAGAGGAGAAGGCUUUUAACCCAUUAGAAGCACGUUUUUUGCGAAAUAUUUUAAGUUAGACCUGCAGUUUGUUAUUUGUGUGCCUCUAGCAUCAGCAAACGCAAAUGCAAAAUAAUUGUUUUCAAACAGGUUUCCCAUCAGUGGCUUUAAUCAGUGUUGGGAAGAGUUACUUUUAAAAGUAAUGCAUUACAAUAUUGCAUUACUCCAUAAAAAGUAACUAAUUGCAUUAGUUUUUAUGGAAAGUAAUGCAUUACAUUACUUUUGUGUUACUUUUGUAACACAAAACAAAAAAGUUAUAUUUCUGGCAACUGUAAGGGCCCUUUCACACCAAAAGUGAAAUGAAUAAGCCUCAGGCUGAACAAGAUCCUCUUUCUCUGCACUUACUCCUAAUUUCUCUCAACAUGAGGACAGGAGAGCUGCAGUCAAUACAUGAGAAAACAAAGUAACUGGCCUUACUUUUUCAAGAAGUAACGCAGAUAUUUCAUUGUAAAUUUAAAAGUAAUGCGCUACUUUACUAG